GACGAACGCUGGCGGCGUGCUUAACACAUGCAAGUCGAACGGAAAGGCCCUGCUUUUGUGGGGUGCUCGAGUGGCGAACGGGUGAGUAACACGUGAGUAACCUGCCCUUGACUUUGGGAUAACUUCAGGAAACUGGGGCUAAUACCGGAUAGGAGCUCCUGCUGCAUGGUGGGGGUUGGAAAGUUUCGGCGGUUGGGGAUGGACUCGCGGCUUAUCAGCUUGUUGGUGGGGUAGUGGCUUACCAAGGCUUUGACGGGUAGCCGGCCUGAGAGGGGGACCGGCCACAUUGGGCCUGAGGUACGGCCCAGACUCCUACGGGAGGCAGCGGUGGGGAAUAUUGCACAAUGGGCGGAAGCCUGAUGCAGCAACGCCGCGUGCGUGAUGACGGCCUUCGGGUUGUAAACCGCUUUCGCCUGUGACGAAGCGUGAGUGACGGUAAUGGGUAAAGAAGCACCGGCUAACUACGUG
rnacentral:rRNA from 1 species